CAGGUGCAUCGGUAACUAUGUAUUUGAAGAUAUCGUAAUACAGUACUGUGUGUCACUGCAACACAUCAGUGUUGUUUUUUAUUAGUCUGCGGCACAUUGUGGAAAUUAAAGUAAACAAAAAAAAACCCCAACAGCAACAAUGGACAAUAAGGGUAAAAAGGUGUAAUGUUGCGAAGAAAAGCUUAAAAGUUGGUACUAAAAAUGAACAGUAAUACGCUUUGUCACCUAUAACACAAAGCUGACUUUAAAUACAAAUAAAACCUCUUUUCUCAGCCUUUUUACAAAAUAAAAUGUGUCUAAAAGGUCCCCACAUCCUCGCAUCCAUGCGGCCAUCGCUGGAAAGACCCCUUGGUUACGGGUUAUGAAUAGGUUUAGAUCAUUACAUGUUUCUUGUCAGCACUCUAGUCACAGUUUAAAAACCAACCUUCUUUAAGCGAACGCAUGAUUUAACUAUGUCAAAGCAAAAAAAAAAAAAAGGUCAAAUGAGUAAACUUCUUGUCAGCACUGUAAAAUGUUUGACUGACCUUCUUUGUGCUUUUGGGAUUUGUUCUACUAUUUUCAAGCAAGAAGACUGUUGAUUUUAAGCGCAUCUGAUACAUGAUGUUUAAGAUAUCUGAGGGUCAAAACUCAGACAGAUCAGUAAGUGCAUCUCUUUGUCCUUUCAUGGAUUUGUGUUCUGUAUCAAGACAAGCACUCCAUUCAUUAUGAAUGCUAUGAACUAAUGCUUUAAGGUCCGAUCAGUCUAUGAAGUUGUUUUAUUUCGUCAAGAACCCCACUGACUUUGAGCUGACAAGUCUUAUGUUUUCAUUUACCUUUCAAUGCAUAGCACUUACUGAUUCAAUGCUUUCUAAUUUCCCAAAUCCAUCAGAUGUGCAGUUUGACUGUACGGCCUGCAAAUGAAAUGAAUAACUAUGCAGUGAUUGUAUUUGAUGGCACAAAUUCCUUAUUAAACACAGCUACGACCAUCAUUCCCUGCACUCGUCACCAUAAUUCCCUUGAGUUAAGACAUGCUUUGGACAGUUUUUCUUACAAAUGACAUAAAGGCAGUGAGGACGUGUGCGUCUGAAUACGUUUGCAUAUAAUCUUCUCUUCAUUAUAAUAAGGCACAUGAAAUUAUAUCUCCUCAUCCACUUUUCUGUUGUUUUUUUUUCCUUCUUCCCUGGUCCCUCUUUGACCUUGUGAGCAUCCCUCAUGUGAGUUCAGGCCUGCGCCGCUGAUCCAUGGAUGCUAAUGGGCCUUCCUGCUGCUUCCACAGCACACACAAUUGCUGCUGCAGGAACACCCAGGGGCUCGCUUCAAGUUUGUUUAAAAAAAUAAGGCAGGUGUCAUCCCAUCGUGACAUCAGGGUAAACAUGACAACAUGUGACACAACCAGGAAGUGUGAGGAAAUGCUAGAACGUCUAAAUUCACAAGGGCGGUAGCAGCUGGAGGAGGAAUGUCCGAACAUCUGGCCUUCUUCGACUGGCUCUUGUCUGGUAGUUUGUCACUUCUUCACCUCCUGCCAAACAACCAAGGACGCUUCUCAUCCAUAAAGAAAGAAUUACAAGCAGUCUUUGAAGCCUGAAAAAGCAGUGUUUUGCUCAACCAAAAAGAGAGGGGAAACCUGCAUCUGAUGAUGAGGGUGAUGAGGAGGAGGAGGAUUAACCUCAGCAUUUUGGACAGGUGAUUUAAAAAAGUAGGUGGGAAUUAAAGCCCCUUUUCCACCAAGUUGUGCAGUUCAGUUCUCAAUGGGAUGGUACACAUUUUUUCCCACCAUUGUUGAAAGUUGUGUAGAAUGCCGAAAUAGGGAUUUUUGUCAUUUUUCUUUUGUGCUACCAAAUGGCCUAAAGGGUGGCAGGGGGCACACUGCAGUUCAUUAAUUGGGCGACAAGCAAUGAAUGAAUGAAUUAAUGACUUUAGCCCCUUUCACACAGCUUGUUCAAGACAUACAGAUGUACUGUAUGAUGUAUGUUCUGUAGAAUAUCA